rnacentral:lncRNA from 1 species
UUAUUUCCAAGUUACGGGUAUGGAUAAUUUGAGCUCGAAGUUUUUUUUGAUCAAUGGAUUUAGGGUUUGGGUCUGUCUUAUAUGGGCCCAAUGAUUGAGCCUGUUGUGAUUGGAUAAUUGGGCUUAUACUAAUCUAAUUUUGGACUUGUUUGGGCUUUAGCCCAUUAGUGUUUUUAGUUUUUUAUGCUAUAUUAAUUUUAAAAAAGAAUAAUAAAAAAAUAAUAAUAAAAAAGGAAAAUCAGAAAAAUACAAAAAUAUACUAUUUACAUUUUGGCCCCUACUUUUUAAUAUUUACAUUUUGGCCCUCAAAUUUUUCUAAAAUUACAUUUUGGCCCUGAGAUUUUUGCGUCUUCUACAAUCUAGUCCUUCUAGCACAUCACGUUAGAUUGUCCCCUAGCAGCCGCCAGGCACAUUUUGCGCACCUACCCUCAGCUACUUCCGGCGAUCGGCCUAAGUUUAUGAUGGCCCUCAACUGCUACCUGAAAACAGAGAAGAAAGAAGAAAAAUCAGCAACAAUAAGAAACAAAAAAAGAAGAAAUGGGGGGUUUUUUCCAUCAGCGAAAAAAGAAGGAAAGAAUAAAAAAAGAAAAAGCUUCAAAAAUAGAAACCAACAUCACCACCAAUCGGAGGCCUUCAAACCCGAAUCCACCCUCACCGACUCGUUGUCUUCCAUUGCUGCACAAUCGAAACCAACCUCCAUUCAGCCACUCCCUCAAUCCCUCUUACCCCUCAAACCCGAGUCCACCAGCCGGGCCCCUCAUCACUCCCAUGGCCCUUCCACCUUCCUCAUCACUACCGAGACCCAAAAAAAACCAAAAUCAAGCACAACAAUCACAAAGGUAGUAGCUAAACCGAAACCCAAACAACAAUAGUAACCAAAAAAAUAAAAUGGAUAGAAAGAAGACUUAUCUUCAAGAGAGAACGCCGGCGACAGCCAAAUCGCUGGGCAGAAGAAUCGACGGCAGCAAGGGGUAGAAGAAAAGGCUAAGGCUAGAGAGAGAAAAAAAGAAAGAAAAAAGAAAGAAAAAGAAAAAAUAAAAAUAAACUAGAACAGCUGGGUCCGACCCGACCCGUUCCACUGAACCCGUACUACCGACCCAAUACCAGCAGACCUAGUAGGCCCAAUAGCCCAGAUCCAGCAGUAGCAGACCCAAUACCAUCAGCAACAGACCCAACACCAAAGGCAGCCCAAAGCGAAAAAAGAAAAGAGGCCCAUUUCGCCUCGGAUCAAACCCAUAACUUUGGGGCUUUUGGUAAAUUUUUAAUCCACUUUUAAUGUAGUCCAUGUAUUUUGAUGACAUCUCUUUUUUAAUUGAAAUGACAUUUUUAAAUAGUUUUUUUUAG